GGAUCCAUAGCUCAGUGGUAGAGCAAUCGAAUGCAGAUCCAUAGGUCUCCAGUACAAACCUGUAUGGGCCCU
rnacentral:tRNA from 1 species